GGAGUUGUGGCUCAGUUGUAGAGCACUCGCCUAAUGUGUGUGAGACCCUGGGUUCAAUCCUCAGCACCA
rnacentral:tRNA from 1 species